rnacentral:rRNA from 1 species
CCUACGGGUGGCAGCAGUGGGGAAUAUUGGGCAAUGGGCGCAAGCCUGACCCAGCAACGCCGCGUGAAGGAAGACGGCUUUCGGGUUGUAAACUUCUUUUCUCAGGGACGAAGAAAGUGCCGGUACCGGAGGAAUAAGCCACGGCUAAAUACGGGCCAGCAGCAGCGGUAAUACGGAGGUCGCAGUCGUUAUCCGGAUUUAUUGGGUGUCAAGGGCGUCUAGGCGGGAUCGCAAGUCAGAUGGGAAAACUCAGGGCCUAAACCUGAGCCUGCAUUUGAAACUGUGUUACUUGAGUGCUGGAGAGGCACUCGGAAUUCGGGGUGUAGCGGUGAAAUGCGUAGAUAUACGGAGGAACACCAGUGGCGAAGGCGGAUUACUGGACAGUAACUGACGCUGAGGCGCGAAAGCGUGGGGAGCAAACAGGAUUAGAUACCCCUGUAGUC